rnacentral:rRNA from 1 species
GACGGACGGUGCAAGCGUUGCUCGGAAUCACUGGGCGUAAAGGGUGUGUAGUCGGUUCUUUAAGUCAGGUGUGAAAGCCCCGGGCUCAACCUGGGAAUUGCAUUUGAGACUGAAUAGCUAGGGUGCGGAAGAGGGAAGCGGAAUUUCCGGUGUAGCGGUGAAAUGCGUAGAUAUCGGAAGGAACACCAGUGGCGAAAGCGGCUUCCUGGUCCAGCACCGACGUUCAGGCACGAAAGCGUGGGGAGCAAACAGG